AACAGGAUUAGAUACCCUGGUAGUCCACGCCGUAAACGAUGUCGACUUGGAGGUUGUGCCCUUGAGGCGUGGCUUCCGGAGCUAACGCGUUAAGUCGACCGCCUGGGGAGUACGGCCGCAAGGUUAAAACUCAAAUGAAUUGACGGGGGCCCGCACAAGCGGUGGAGCAUGUGGUUUAAUUCGAUGCAACGCGAAGAACCUUACCUACUCUUGACAUCCACGGAACUUAGCAGAGAUGCUUUGGUGCCUUCGGGAACCGUGAGACAGGUGCUGCAUGGCUGUCGUCAGCUCGUGUUGUGAAAUGUUGGGUUAAGUCCCGCAACGAGCGCAACCCUUAUCCUUUGUUGCCAGCGGUUCGGCCGGGAACUCAAAGGAGACUGCCAGUGAUAAACUGGAGGAAGGUGGGGAUGACGUCAAGUCAUCAUGGCCCUUACGAGUAGGGCUACACACGUGCUACAAUGGCAUAUACAAAGAGAAGCGACCUCGCGAGAGCAAGCGGACCUCAUAAAGUAUGUCGUAGUCCGGAUUGGAGUCUGCAACUCGACUCCAUGAAGUCGGAAUCGCUAGUAAUCGUGGAUCAGAAUGCCACGGUGAAUACGUUCCCGGGCCUUGUACACACCGCCCGUCACACCAUGGGAGUGGGUUGCAAAAGAAGUAGGUAGCUUAACCUUCGGGAGGGCGCUUACCACUUUGUGAUUCAUGACUGGGGUGAAGUCGUAACAAGGUAACC
rnacentral:rRNA from 1 species